CGAUUACCUGCCCUCGGGUGGGGGAUAACCCCGGGAAACUGGGGCUAAUCCCCCAUAGGGGAUGGGUACUGGAAUGUCUCAUCUCCGAAAGCGCUUAGCGCCCGAGGAUGGGUCUGCGGCGGAUUAGGUUGUUGGUGGGGUAACGGCCCACCAAGCCGAAGAUCCGCACGGGCCAUGAGAGUGGGAGCAGGAGCCCGGAGAUGGACCCUGAGACACGGGUCCAGGCCCUACGGGGCGCAGCAGGCGCGAAACCUCCGCAAUGCGGGAAACCGCGACGGGGUCAGCCGGAGUGCUCGCGCAUCGCGCGGGCUGUCGGGGUGCCUAAAAAGCACCCCAUGGCAAGGGCCGGGCAAGGCCGGUGGCAGCCGCCGCGGUAAUACCGGCGGCCCGAGUGGCGGCCACUUUUAUUGGGCCUAAAGCGUCCGUAGCCGGGCUGGUAAGUCCUCCGGGAAAUCUGGUCGCUUAACGAUCAGACUGCCGGAGGAUACUGCCAGCCUAGGGACCGGGAGAGGCCGGGGGUAUUCCCGGGGUAGGGGUGAAAUCCUGUAAUCCCGGGAGGACCACCUGUGGCGAAGGCGCCCGGCUGGAACGGGUCCGACGGUGAGGGACGAAGGCCAGGGGAGCGAACCGGAUUAGAUACCCGGGUAGUCCUGGCUGUAAACGAUGCGGACUAGGUGUCACCGAAGCUACGAGCUUCGGUGGUGCCGGAGGGAAGCCGUU
rnacentral:rRNA from 1 species